AUAUUAGGUUAAGUUAUUAAGGGCGUAUGGUGGAUGCCUUGGCACUAGGAGCCGAUGAAGGACGUGACUAACUGCGAUAUGCUUCGGGGAGUUGUAAGUAAACUAUGAUCCGGAGAUUUCCGAAUGGGGAAACCUAACAGGUUUUACCGCCUGUUAUCACUAAGUGAGAUUCCCUCAGUAGCGGCGAGCGAACCGGGAAGAGCCCAAACUAAGAAGCUUGCUUCUUAGGGUUGUAGGACUGAACAUCUGAGUUACCAAGAAAUGAAGUAGUUGAAUAAUCUGGGAAGAUUAGCCAAAGAGAGUGAUAGCCUCGUAAGCGAAACUU
rnacentral:rRNA from 1 species